AUGCUAAGAAGGUUUGAGAACCACUUCUCUGGAGACACUGACUCAUACUUCAUUGGUAGUCAUCAUUAGGCUCAAUGAUUAUAACAGUAAAUGACUAAAGCAGUUUUGAACUCACCAUCUGAUUCAGAUCCAUGAGUGGUAUGGGACCCCCCACUGGGGUGGAAUGUGUCUUGGUCUCCUGUAAUGAGCAAUCAGGAAGAAGGGACUGCUUUUUAGUCAUCAGCACCAUGGAGGUCCAGAGGACAAAAGGCAACAAUAUUAUUGUGAGGAAUAUAAAGUGAUAUAAUCAGACAUUUAUGCCAAUUAUAAAUCACACUGCAAAAGAACUGAAAUCAUAGCAAACAGUCUAUUGGACCACAGCGCAAUCAAAUUUGAAAUCAAGACUAAGAAACUCACUCAAAACCAUACAAUUACACGGAAAUUGAAUAACCUGCUCCUGAAUGACUUUUGGGUAAAUAAUGAAAUUAAUGCAGAAAUCAAGAAGUUCUUUGAAACUAAUAAGAACAAAGAUACAACAUAUCAGAAUCUCUGGGACACAGCUAAGGCAGUAGUAAGAGGGAAAUUUAUAGCACUAAAUUUAAAUGCCCACAUAAAAAAGUUAGAAAGAUCUCAAGUUAACAAAAAUAAAUAAAUAAAAUAAAUCAUAUAUAAGCAAUCCAUUAUUGUUAAAACAAAUCACUAACUCUAGAGUGAAAGAAACCCAACUUUUAAGAUGAAGAAAUGUAGUUUGCACUUAAUGUACGAAGAGGUAUAUAAAACAGAAAAAUCAGAGAACCACCACCAGACGCACCUUUUGAUUAAAAGUAACAGUGUAACGGCAGCUAAUGGAUGCACCUCCACCAAAGACACUGCAAAAGUACCCAUAAUUGAUUAAUUCUUAUCAAUAGCUGAAGCCAACUAGGUUUUAUAAUCCUUACUGCUUGAUGUCAGAGUAGAAGUUGUUGGAUGGUCUUUAUCUUCUUCCAAGCCUUCAUGUGAUGUAGAGAAGCUCUGAGAAUUACUCUGCUCUGUUUCAAUGAGGAAUGAAUCCAGUGUUAAUUUGAAGCUUCGGUACAAAUCCUGUUAUCUGCUAGCAGGGAAGAUCUAGCUAGAGUAGAGUCAGAUGGAUAGGUGCAUAGGAAGACCAAGGUUUGUGCACACCAUUCUCCUCUGAUUGAUAGAAAUAUACAGAAGAAUUCUAUUUUGCCCCUAUUUGGUUCUGAAGACCCUUUAUUUCUCAGUAUAAUCAUCAAAGGUAAAGUGGCAAGGUGAAGACUGAGCCAAAACUUUUCCUAUCCUGGAUUGUCCAGGCGCAAUUGCAGCAUUGCUCCCAGUCACUCCGGAAAACCAGAGAACACAGAGACAUGGAAAAAAGAAUAUUUGAAUCCUAAUGCUCCAUAUCAGUAAUCAAAAGCACCUAACUGUGUGUCAAGAAAUGUGACUGCAGGGAAAAUGAACACUAUGAUAGCCUGUAGUCUAGUUGUAACCACAAAAGAAAAAGAAGCCUAUCUAGAAUAGCCUACUCAAGUAACACAGAUCAAAUUUAUACAAGGAAAUACUUAGCUACCUAGUAAAGGUCAUUAAAUUAAAGUUACCAUUUUACUCCAUUAUUAAGUUAUUUUUUAAUUUCACCUGUGCAUUGGGAUUUUCAUCACUGCACCAAGGAAACGCUUGCCUGGGCAAACACAGGGCCCUCAGUGACAUAUAUCAACUGGAGGUUGACCCAUUGCCCAUAUCUAAAAUCACUUGGACUGCUUCAAGUUUAUUUCUUUUGUGUUCUUUUAAGAAAGGUACUGACCUCUGAGUUGCAGGUGCAAAAACUUCAUAAAGCACACCCAUAAGCCAUGCCCACCACCAAAUAAAUACUACAAUCAGGAGAAAGACAGUCACCAAAUCCCAAACCCAAUGUCAGAACAAAAGCCAACAGUGACAUAAAAUAGAAAUAUAAGUCCUUCUUUGGCAAGGGCCAUUCAUAGGCUUAUUUGCAUCUCCUUUGAUGCUUAACGCUGUGCUAUUUACAUUACUGACAAUCAAUACAUGCUUGCUGAUUUUUUUCCUUUGCCUAAAGGGUUCAUAUGAAGGACUCUGCCCAUUAUGUGUGGCAAGCAGUAAAAUGGGACCUUCUUAAUUCUAGAUUUCUUUUGUAUUCUUCAAAGAAAUUAUGAAUGACUUUAGGCUGAUCUCUAGGACAUCCCUGCACAUAGAGUAGAAAUUAAGGCUACUAGAAUUUGAACAUUUCUUAGUGAUAGAAAGAGAUACCAGCAAUGUUUUGUUGUUGUUGUUGUUCCAGGCAUCCCGCCACCUUUGUUGAUUGUCAAUAACAUGCCUUGCCUCUCCUCUGAGAACUGAUGUGAUCUCGAGGAUUAUCUGGCCCCAAAAAUGUCUUUUUACAACCAUGCAAGCAAUCCUACCCCUCUUCUGCACUAGCUAGAGGAAAGAUGGACAUUGAAAGGAAAUGGUCAGUUAAAACAUAGAGAAAUCACUAUCCUGGAAGUGGGCAUGUGUUUCACUGACAUAACUACUUAGAGAAUGAAAAUGGAGUUGAAUAGAGUCCUACUUUUUCUUAAAACACAAAGUCAUUGGAUCUGGAAGGCACAAAGAAAUGACGGGAAAAUCAGGUUGAGAGACCUCCACAAGAAAUAGACAAUGAACACAGUUUCACACUCUGGGCUGAAGUAAGCCACAUAGCACCAUUCCACCACCAAAGCUCUGCAUCUUGGCCAAUAGGGAGUAAGAGAUGAAGCAGGAAUACAAGUCAAUAAAGUGGCUGAGCAUCGUUAUUCUUACGCGUUGUCAUUGAAAGAGGUCCUGUCCUGUCCAAAUCUUCCACCAAACCUGUGUUUGGAUUUGCAGUAGGCUGAAGCGUUGUACUAUGACUGGAGUCCAUAUCUGAAGGAAUCAAUAUUAGUGUUAUUGCUUGAUUUCCCAAACCACUACCUGAAGGUGGCUUAUGGUCUACAGCUGAUUUUUUUAAAUAUUCACAUCUGGCCAAGAGGAAAGAAAGCACAUACUGACUAUAUCUCCCGAACUGAGAUAGAUUAUUGUUUCAUCAAAGAGCACCACAACAAGUAACUGGCUUUCCUUGAAGGGCCGAGUUAUAUGAAAGCUAUGAUGUGUGUUUGUUUUUGCUGAGUCUGGAAGGCCUCUACAUGAGCGCAUGAUGGAACACCCAAAUCUUACAGAGAGACAGAAACAUUGCCUUUUUUAUAGAAACAUGCAAUCUGACACAUGGAGAAAAGACAAAGUGUGCUGGCUCAGGCACCAUUUUAUCCCCUCCCCCUUACCAACCAAAGGGACUUUUAAAAAUAGCCCUCUUCCCCCCUUUAGUCUUUUUUUCUUUACAAAGUGAAUAUGCAAAUAAACAGAAUCGUCAUCCAAGACCACCUAGGUGGAGUUACAGAAAGUAUACAGGGGCAAGAAAUAAGAAGAAGUGGAUGUCAUUGAAUUAUUCUUCCCAAAAACCCAAGUAUAAGCGGUCUUUAAAAUUUAACAUGUACAAUGUUGAGUAGUGCAGAAAUUUCACUGAAAUACUUGUAAAUGUUGUUUUUAACAGUUAUCACAGAUCUACUCUGCUGAAAUAAGAAGUCUUGAGUGAAACAGAGGCCAAAGAAUUCAUAAACCCCAUCGAUAUUUCUGGCUGUCAAUUCAGUCAAAGUCUAUCCACAUCACUGCCUCUGGGGGAGAUUUAAUCAGUUCCAGUGAAGCACCAGAAUACUGGGUACUCAGGUCUGCACUGCAGCCUUUCAACACUAAAUAUUCAAGAUUCAACACUAAAUAUUCAACACUAAAAUAUUAAAGAUCUUUGUAGGAUGAAAAUGUGGUGACCCUAUUAUCCCAGAUUUCAAACAAGAGCAAGUGCUAACCUGAAUCAAAACCACAAAUGGACAUUCUCCCAGAAAAAGUCCCACUUGAUGAUGGGCUCUAGACUCUUGUUCAUCUUCCCUCUUAUAAGUAGAGUCCUUCAAGAGUUAUCAUACCAUUGUGUAGUUGAAGCCAAUUGUAUUGUCCUUGACAUGUUCAUUAAUUUAAUGGAAUCUCUUUCUCUUCAUCAGUACAUAGAAUUAAUAUUGAUUCUGAA